rnacentral:rRNA from 1 species
UACGUAGGGCGCAAGCGUUAUCCGGAAUUAUUGGGCGUAAAGAGCUCGUAGGCGGUUUGUUGCGUCGGCUGUGAAAUCCCGAGGCUCAACCUCGGGUCUGCAGUCGAUACGAGCAAACUAGAGUGUUGCAGGGGAGACUGGAAUUCCUGGUGUAGCGGUGAAAUGCGCAGAUAUCAGGAGGAACACCGAUGGCGAAGGCAGGUCUCUGGGCCGAUACUGACGCUGAGGAGCGAAAGCGUGGGGAGCGAACAGG